rnacentral:rRNA from 1 species
CGCGAAGAACCUUACCUGGUCUUGACAUCCCUCUGACCGCUCUAGAGAUAGAGUUUUCCUUCGGGACAGAGGUGACAGGUGGUGCAUGGUUGUCGUCAGCUCGUGUCGUGAGAUGUUGGGUUAAGUCCCGCAACGAGCGCAACCCCUAUUGUUAGUUGCCAUCAUUCAGUUGGGCACUCUAGCGAGACUGCCGGUGAUAAACCGGAGGAAGGUGGGGAUGACGUCAAAUCAUCAUGCCCCUUAUGACCUGGGCUACACACGUGCUACAAUGGCUGGUACAACGAGACGCAAGUCAGCGAUGGGAAGCUAAUCUCUUAAAGUGCGUCUCAGUUCGGAUUGUAGGCUGCAACUCGACUACAUGAAGUCGGAAUCGCUAGUAAUCGCGAAUCAGAACGUCGCGGUGAAUACGUUCCCGGGCCUUGUACACACCGCCCGUC